GGCGGACGGGUGAGUAAUGCUUAGGAAUCUGCCUAUUAGUGGGGGACAACAUCUCGAAAGGGAUGCUAAUACCGCAUACGUCCUACGGGAGAAAGCAGGGGAUCUUCGGACCUUGCGCUAAUAGAUGAGCCUAAGUCGGAUUAGCUAGUUGGUGGGGUAAAGGCCUACCAAGGCGACGAUCUGUAGCGGGUCUGAGAGGAUGAUCCGCCACACUGGGACUGAGACACGGCCCAGACUCCUACGGGAGGCAGCAGUGGGGAAUAUUGGACAAUGGGGGGAACCUGAUCCAGCCAUGCCGCGUGUGUGAAGAAGGCCUUAUGGUUGUAAAGCACUUUAAGCGAGGAGGAGGCUACUUUAGUUAAUACCUAGAGAUAGUGGACGUUACUCGCAGAAUAAGCACCGGCUAACUCUGUGCCAGCAGCCGCGGUAAUACAGAGGGUGCGAGCGUUAAUCGGAUUUACUGGGCGUAAAGCGUGCGUAGGCGGCUUAUUAAGUCGGAUGUGAAAUCCCCGAGCUUAACUUGGGAAUUGCAUUCGAUACUGGUGAGCUAGAGUAUGGGAGAGGAUGGUAGAAUUCCAGGUGUAGCGGUGAAAUGCGUAGAGAUCUGGAGGAAUACCGAUGGCGAAGGCAGCCAUCUGGCCUAAUACUGACGCUGAGGUACGAAAGCAUGGGGAGCAAACAGGAUUAGAUACCCUGGUAGUCCAUGCCGUAAACGAUGUCUACUAGCCGUUGGGGCCUUUGAGGCUUUAGUGGCGCAGCUAACGCGAUAAGUAGACCGCCUGGGGAGUACGGUCGCAAGACUAAAACUCAAAUGAAUUGACGGGGGCCCGCACAAGCGGUGGAGCAUGUGGUUUAAUUCGAUGCAACGCGAAGAACCUUACCUGGCCUUGACAUACUAGAAACUUUCCAGAGAUGGAUUGGUGCCUUCGGGAAUCUAGAUACAGGUGCUGCAUGGCUGUCGUCAGCUCGUGUCGUGAGAUGUUGGGUUAAGUCCCGCAACGAGCGCAACCCUUUUCCUUACUUGCCAGCAUUUCGGAUGGGAACUUUAAGGAUACUGCCAGUGACAAACUGGAGGAAGGCGGGGACGACGUCAAGUCAUCAUGGCCCUUACGGCCAGGGCUACACACGUGCUACAAUGGUCGGUACAAAGGGUUGCUACACAGCGAUGUGAUGCUAAUCUCAAAAAGCCGAUCGUAGUCCGGAUUGGAGUCUGCAACUCGACUCCAUGAAGUCGGAAUCGCUAGUAAUCG
rnacentral:rRNA from 1 species